GCUCAGGCCUUUACAUGGUUUUCUAUGUAAUUCAAAUAAAAAAUGCCUGUGCAACUCAAAAAAUAGUUGAAAACAUCAACAGAAGGCUGUGAUGCCUGUGAUAAAAAGGAGAUACCUAAUUGGUGUAUACCCAUAAAAAAAUGAUUUAAAUGCAGUUCUGCCAGCAAAAAACAUGACCAAUACUCCUGAGAAAUGGUCCUGCCUGAACAUGUUUCCUUGAUUUCAUUGCCUUAGCAGAAGCCCUCCAUAUGGCCAUGUGAUUGCUGCUGUUGCUGCUUCACGUGAUCCAGCUUUCUGGCAAAAAGGCUCCAGGCUCGUACAGAUGAUUGUUAAACAUCAUGAGACUCUGAAAGGUAGAGUAGGCAAGAGGAGGAGGGAGCCAAGAAAAGAACCGUGUGGGAGUUACACUGAAAAAUGGGUUUGAAAAUGAAGCACUGAAGAAGCAACUGGAGGGCAGGAGACGUUUAGUUAGAAGUUUCAUCUCAGGAACAGAGUCCUCUCAGAGAACAGUCCCGUUGGCCACCUGAGCCAUGUGUGAAAUUCAUCAUGGAUUUAAAAAAGGAAAAAUAUGUGUAGCCAUGUGACAAAGCAAAUGCAUGAAAGGAAGAUUUAUUCAGUUUUCAGAAGAUCAGCAGCAGUGAAUCACCCUCUUGGCUGAGCUGGAGUGCAAUAUGGUCAACUGUUUCCCCCAGGAAAGAAGAAAAGAUGAAAGUCCCACACUGCUGUAAUGGCCAUGCAGGAAGCAGUGACCUGUGCCAGGACAGCUCCAGCCAGUGCACCAGUGAAUCUCUUGAAGAAAAACUUGAAAGCCUGGAAGCUGAAGAUCUCAUGUCUCAUCUGUCACAACCAGAAACCUACCUAGAUGAGGAGAAAAGAUCAAGUAAGUAAAACUGACCAAAGUUAUGGGACUAAGAAGAUCACUUAGUCAGUUUGAAACAAUGUCUAUUAAUUCUUCAGUGAUAACAAUUUACCGUACAUUAUUUGAUUACUGCAUUUGAUAUCGUGAAUGUCAUUGUGGUAAACAGAUCCAUCAGAAAUCACCUGAAAAAUAACACCUUGUUGAAAAUUGCCACAGGAGAAUUUCGUUCAGCUGACUGGGAAAACUCUGUCUAACUGAAUGUGGCAACUACUCAGUCAGCUGCACUGAGUGCAGAACUGGAAACAUUGCCUGUGCAAGUUGUCUGACACUUCAGAAGACCCAGUUUUCAGAUACAACUUCAGUCUAACCAUUCAGGCUGAAAAUUUCCAUGUCAGGUGUGUGCACCAGACUGAUUCUUUUUGGAAGAUGGAGAUAAGAUUUGAAGGAUCAAGAGCCUGAGAGCAAGAAGUGGCCUGAUGGGGAAGAAUCCUGCCUGUAGGAGAGGGGAGGAGGGUGUGGGGAGACAGUCAUCCAGGACAUGGGCAAGUGAAAUCACAGUUUUUCAUCAGACUCCUCCACUAUUAUGUUUCAUACUGUUUCCAGUUUAUGACUUGUGUUUCUGUGGGGGAAGGGUUAGGGUUAGAGAUGCUGAAGAGCCUCUGAAGGAGGUGAGUAGGACUGGGACAUACAUUUCACUUUGCAAUCUGCUGGGCUGAUCUCCAUAGUAGGUCCAAAGGGAUGAUGUGGAAAAAAUUUGGGGUCAAAUAUUGGUGCUGAGUAGGAGAAGACUACCCAGAAGCUGUUGCCUUGUAAGAUGAGGUGGUAAAGCAAGGAGACUGGGACAACCACAUGAGAUGGAGACGUGGACCAGGCAGGCUGGUAGAAAGGGAGACAGAACUAGCACCCACAAGGGUGACACUGGGACCAAAAAGAGGGGUGAAGGCAGUAGGGCAGUGCGAGGGAGGCUGCCACCAGAUCACACCCUUUGCUUAGCCAGUCUGCCCAUUUCCAUUUGAGUGUGCCAUUUGAUUCCAUAAGGAAAAGCACAUCUCCUCCAUGACUCUUUUUUUUUUUUUAAAUCUUCUAUGUAAGAGAAGUCUUGUUACUUCUGUUGACCUAUUUCCCCAGAGACUGCUGUAGUUUGUUUAUGGAUUUUGUCCUGUUUGUUUUAUGUUUCCAAAUAUGUCAUGUGG